rnacentral:misc_RNA from 1 species
AAAUUACAGUUUAAUUCGAUCACCAUAAACAACAACAUAAUUCGAUCGAAAUAAGAACGAUUCUGAAAUAAUCGAAACCUUCAAGUACGAAGCAAUGUCGACUAGUUUAAGCCUUCUUCGAGUCCUCGUUGACAUUGACAUCCCCCUCCUUUGAUUUCCCAUUGCUCCUACGAUCACCGGAAUAUUUAGCCUUGGUGUUGUUCUCUGCAUCUCUGUUACUCCGGCUAUUGAAUUCAUUCGUCGGAAAGUUGAACUUUUUCGAAGCGAUUUCAGAUCUUAAAUCAUUCAAAGCAUUUCUCAACAAUCCAUUUUCAGCUUGUAUGGUCUCCAGCUGCUGCUUCACAUCCAAACAAGCUUGUGUCAAAUCAGCAUUUCUGGGCAAAUUGUUAGCUUUCUUCGGAUCAUCACUCGAUAAAUGUUCGAUACCGAUCUUAUUCAUCACCAACAAUGGACAAUGACGGAACGAAAUGGCGGCCGGCGACGGGAAGUUGGUGUUACCCAGGAUAGCUGUAUCCGGAUCCUCCACUGCAGGAACUUUAGGAAACCUGAGGCCCCAUCGGAAGUUCACCACAGCCCGGUUUCUCACCGGGAACGAAGUCCGGGCACUAACCACCGCGCCGGAGAACAAGUUUUCCACAGCUCCGACUACGGCAGAUUCCUCCGGGAAAACCCCGACUUUGCUGCCGAGAAACGCUGCUUUCUCUUGGAAAUAAUCCGUUUUCAUCACCGGAGUCUCGAAAUUGUUUUGAAUCGGAUCAAUCCCAUUUGGUUUCGAGGUCAAACUCUUCGUAAGAGCCGAAGAGGAGUGCGACUUCUUCACACAAAAAUCCCCAAAUUGAGGUUUGAAAUGAAUGAAGAAGCUAGGGUUUUGAUUCCCAACCAAAUUGAACUCAGCACUCAUGGUAAACGGACUGGAUACCGGAGACCCAAAAUGCCCAAUCCCAGUUUUGAACACAAAACUAAACGGAUUGAACGAAUCAUUCGGCCGAUAAGCAACUUUGAACGAAGGCCCAGAAUCAAACAAAGUUCCUAGACUCAACGAUAACUCCUUCGAUUCGCCGGCAACGAUUCCUGAUUGAAACGGAAAGUUCAACACACUCAGAGGAACUUUAGCUCUGAUUAAUGGCUUUUGUUCAUCACGAAACUUGAUUGAAG